rnacentral:rRNA from 1 species
AUGAACGCUGGCGGCGUGCCUAAUCCCUGCCAGUCGAGCGAACAGAUGAGGAGCUUGCUCCUCUGACGUUAGCGGCGGACGGGUGAGUAACACGUGGAUAACCUACCUAUAAGACUGGGAUAACUUCGGGAAACCGGAGCUAAUACCGGAUAAUAUAUUGAACCGCAUGGUUCAAUAGUGAAAGACGGUUUUGCUGUCACUUAUAGAUGGAUCCGCGCCGCAUUAGCUAGUUGGUAAGGUAACGGCUUACCAAGGCAACGAUGCGUAGCCGACCUGAGAGGGUGAUCGGCCACACUGGAACUGAGACACGGUCCAGACUCCUACGGGAGGCAGCAGUAGGGAAUCUUCCGCAAUGGGCGAAAGCCUGACGGAGCAACGCCGCGUGAGUGAUGAAGGUCUUCGGAUCGUAAAACUCUGUUAUUAGGGAAGAACAAAUGUGUAAGUAACUAUGCACGUCUUGACGGUACCUAAUCAGAAAGCCACGGCUAACUACGUG